rnacentral:rRNA from 1 species
ACGUAGGGGGCAAGCGUUGUCCGGAUUUAUUGGGCGUAAAGAGCGUGUAGGCGGUCUGGUAGGUCCGUUGUGAAAACUCGAGGCUCAACCUCGAGACGCCGAUGGAAACCAUCAGACUAGAGUCCGGAAGAGGAGAGUGGAAUUCCGCGUGUAGCAGUGAAAUGCGUAGAGAUGCGGAGGAACACCGAUGGCGAAGGCAGCCCCCUGGGCUGACACUGACGCUCAGGCACGAAAGCGUGGGGAGCAAACAGGA